CCAGUUCACCAUCAGCAACACACAGGGAAGGAAGGCCCCAGAGGCAGCCUGGGAGUUGACAUUCUACAGAGGGUUAUGGCAGUUAUAUCUUCAGCGCCACUCGUUCCUACUCCAACCAGAUUUAUACUCCCCUACUGGGAUGAGGGAUUGGACGCUAUAUCUUCAGCGCCACUCCUUCCUUUGAAUCAGUUCAUUUUUAUAAUACUAACAUUCCCCCUCUUUCACACACAGUAUGAUUUGGUCUCUAGAAAGGUGUGACAGACAUCUACAACUAUAAACGGAUGGGGACCAGAGUUUAGACACAGGUGGCCUUAACAAAAGUGACAUACUUCUCCAUUCCGUUACGAUUUUGUUUGCUCAUAUUUGGAGAGUGUCAGGUACUGUUAAGAUAUAAGGCCGAAGGUUAUUGUAUUUUGCUCUAUGGCGCUUUAGCACAACAUUCCAUCUGCUGACACAAUAUUUGUCUUCCACUCAGUACAACAAGACCCAGGAGAGGCCUACUGCAAGCACUGGAUUGGAGCCUUCAGAGCGAGCAUUCCUGCUGUGGGAGGACAACAGAACAUUCUGAAUGGACAUUAUUAAAACAGAACUUACAUUUUUGUAAUGCCCAAUCGGGACUUUUAUAAAUUGUUAAAAUAAAUAAUUGUGUGGAGAAAGCCCUAUAAUUUAAAAAAUAAUAAUAAAAUAACUAUGAAGAUAGGGAUUCGGCUCCCGUUACAUUUUAUAUCAUUGUGAUUAACAGCAACCGAUUACUUUUACUAACAUAACAAUGUUGACACAUUGUGGCAGCUCAAAUGAUGUGGUUGAAGAUGGACUAGUGCAGGGCUCUCCAACCCUGUACCUGGAGAGCUACUGUCUUGUAAGUCCACUCCAACCCUAAUCUAGUGCACCUGAUUUGAAUAAUUACCUGCUUAAUAAAUUAAUCAGGUUAGUUACAAUUGAGGUUGGAUUGAAAACCUACAGGAGGGCAGUUCUCCAGGAACAAUGUUGGAGAGCUUUGGACUAAUGGAUCUAGUUCUUAGAUCAAUGCAUUUGAAAUUCGAUAAGUCACUACGAAGGUGCAGUUCCCAAAAGUGGAGCUGUCACUUAAUACAGUGGAUGGGAAGUCUUAUUUCAUGUAGUUCUAAUUAAAUGAUGGCUGAAGUUUAUUGUUCUUAAUGUAGGACAUCAAAUUAUCAGAUUUGGAUGAGUUGGCUGCGAUAUGGCAGGAGUACUUCAGUCAAUAUCAGCAAAGGAUAUUGGUUAUUAGUGAAGUGUCAGUAAAGUGUUUCUAACAAAAACGAAACGCCAAGACAAGCAAUAUGGAUUGUAAUAAUUUAAUUUUAAUGAUCAUUAAGUGCACAAUAACAGCCGAUAUGGAAAUACAGUGCAUUUGGAAAGUAUUCAGACCCCCUUGACUUUUUCCACAUUUUGUUACAUUAGAGCCUUAUUCUAAAAUCUAUUAAAUAAAUUAAAAUGUAGCGUCAUACCCAAGAAGACUGAUGUAAUCGCUGCUUCAAGCAAAGUACUAAGUAAAGGGUCAUAAAUGUAAUAUAUCCUCUUUUUUCAUAUAUAUACAUUUGCAAAAAUGUAAACCUGUUUUUGCUUUGUCAUUAUGGGGUAUUGUGUGUAGAUUGAUGAGGGGAAAAAUUGUAUUCGUUUUUUAAUAAGGCUGUAACGUAAUAAAAUGUUGAAAAAGUCAAGAGGUCUGAAUACGUCCUGAAUGCACCAUACAAACAAGUAGAUACAUGCUUAAAUGUUGAUGUGCUGUUACAUUUUCAGACACUCAAUUGCUACUGUAGUUUAGUGCUACUAGAUACAAUUAUGUGUCGUAAAAAUGUUUUUAUGCAACACCGAAAUGUGGGGAAUUCACAAUACCGGAGGUCAUGAAUUCCCUAAAGGCAUUGUAGGUGCUAUGAAGAGGGAGCCUUUAGUGUCACAGCACACGUGUUUGCCACUGGGUACUUUUUCUUCUACUGCCCAGCGAGACGCCCUCGCGCUGUGUGGAGGAAUUCGAUGGUCGGGGUGUCCUCAAACCCAAGGGGUGGCAUCACCGUUGCCCCAGUAGCAAACUCCAACACCAUCGCCACUGUUAGAGGAGGACAUUCUCCAUCUGAGGAGUACACACCAGCCAGUUGAACCAGUGGAAGACGGUGUCGUUCUCCAAACACCGCCGGUUGCCGCCAGGGGAACAAGUCUCCUCCUGUCCGUCUUAAAGGCCUCUACAUUUGGAUUCAUCUGGGGGAAAUGUUUCCCCCAAAACCUUCAAGAAGCUGCUCUCCUCCUGACCAUAGGGCACGUUGAUCUGCCUCACAGGAUACUCUAAAGACACUGAGAUAUGGAAACGUUAUUUAAAUCUAUUAAAAAAGUAUCCUAAUAUAAAACAGAAAAAUAGUCCAUGAUCUGUAAAUCAGUCAAAUAACCUACAAUAAGUCUGUUUAAUCACAAGAUAGAUUCACACCUUGCUUACUUACAAAGCAAGCACUGUGCAUCGCACUGUGUCCUCAUGUACUACAUGGAUAUAGGGAAAAUGUUUAUGUAUUUAUUUUUAUUUCACCUUUAUUUAACCAGGUAGGCUAGUUGAGAACAAGUUCUCACUUGCAACUGCGACCUGGCCAAGAUAAAGCAAAGCAGGUCGACACAGUUACACAUGGAAUAAACAAACAUACAAUCAAAAAUACAGUAGAAAAAAGUCUAUAUACAGUGUGUGCAAAUGAGGUAGGAUAAGAGAGGUAAGGCAAUAAAUAGGCCAUGGUGACAAAGUAAUUACAAUAUAGCAAUUAAACACUGGAAUGGUAGGAUGUACAGAAGAUGAAUGUGCAAGUAGAGAUACUGGGGUGUAAAGGAGCAAGAUAAAUAAAUACAGUAUGGGGAUGAGGUAGAUUGGAUGUGCCAUUUACAGAUGAGCUAUGUACAGGUGCUGUGAUCUGUGAGCUGCUCUGACAGCUAGUGAGGGAGGUAAGUCUCUCCAGCUUCAGAGUUUUUUGCAGUUCGUUCCAGUCAUUGGCAGCAGAGAACUGGAAGGAGAGGUGGCCAAAGGAGGAAUUGGCUUUGGGGUGACCAGUGAGAUAUGCGUGCUACGGGUGACCAGUGAGCUGAGAUAAGGCAGGGCUUUACCUAACAGAGACUUGUAGAUGACGUGGAGCCAGUGGGUUUGGCGACGAGUAUGAAGCGAUGGCCAGCCAACGAGAGUGUACAGGUCGCAGUGGUGGUUAAUAUAUGGGGCUUUGGUGAUGGCACUGUGAUAAAAUGCAUCCAAUUUGUUGAGUAGAGUGGAGGAUAUUUUAUAGAUGACAUCGUCGAAGUCAAGAAUCGGUAGGAUGGUCAGUUUUGCCAGAGUAUGUUUGGCUGCAUGAGUGAAGGAUGCUUUGCUGCGAAAUAGGAAGCCAAUCCUAGAUUUAAUUUUGGAUUGUGGAGAUGCUUAAUGUGAGUCUGGAAGGAGAGUUUACAGUCUAGCCAGACACCUAGGUAUUUGUAGUUGUCCACAUAUUCUAAACCAGAACCGUCCAGAGUAGUGAUGCUGGAUGGGCGGGCAGUGAUCGGUUGAAGAGCAUGCACUUAGUUUUACUUGCACCUAUCCUAACGUACCUAUCCUGUUCAGCUGCCGGAUGGUAGGGUCAGCGAUCAGGCAUUUUACUGGUUGAAGUGUAAUGCAUAUUAAGCAGGACAUUCAUACAAGCCUUAAAAUCCAAUUUUACAAUCCAAAAGUCAUGUGAAAUGCACUCAUAAGUAACAUGUAAAUGUAGGCUUUUCUUUGUUGUGCCACCAACUUGCUAUGUUAUGCCACCAACUUGCAACUCCUCACUCUAGUGCGGCAAUGUUUGCAAACACAGAAAGAGGUCUUAUCUUAUUUCCAGCUUCUCUGAUGGAACAGUAUUUCUAUUUAUGGGAAUCCUGCAACACAAUCUUGACGUGUGACAGGCAAGGUUAUUGAAUGAUAAAUGAAUGAUUCUAACACUAUAAUAUAUGAAAUUCAUCGUACCCUUCUAUUUAAAGCUAUUUUACAGUAGAGUGAGUGCACACAUUUUCAUGUGGCCUUUGCGGGAAUCGAACCCACGACCCUUGUUGGUUGCCAGUCUUUAACAAAUGAGAUGAAGAAUGAAACA